rnacentral:lncRNA from 12 species
GGGCCCCUCCUGGAGACCCGAAGGAGCACGGCUCGCCCCCCCUCCAGAGCCGGGGGGCUGCGUUUCCGUGACUCAGGAACUCUGUGCUCACGCGGGAGGCGUCCCCGUGGAAGAGGAGGCACACCAGCAGGGGCAGUGGGUGCACAGACGGGAGGACGGGGCCCCAGGGUGCGCGAGGGGCCUGGCCCCAGGACGCAGCAGGUGGGUGGGGGACGGCAGGUGGAGCACCGCAGCUCGGCGGCCCGGGAGCACGGUGCGGGCGUGAGCCAUCCCCAUCCGCAGCCAAGGAGCAGCCCGUCUCCACAGCAAGGUUCCGAAGUCUCCGGAACACCCGAUCCUGCAGCUUGCUGUGGCUGUUUCCUCGUCCGGAAGGUGGGUGCCGGGGACGGCGCCAGCUCGCCUCCCAUUCGUCCUUCCGAGGACCGAAAGGGCCCCACGCAGAGGCGGGCCCAGGCCGAGGACAGCGGGGCACGGGCAGCAGUCUCAGGACCGCGCACCCCUAAACCGGGGCCUGGAGCGUCAGAACUAAGGGGAAAAUCCAUGCAGAGCAAGACGCCCAACGUGGCAGGCUGCACGGGAGGGGACAGGAUUCUCGUCCGCCCGGGCUGCCCCACGGCGCUGCCUGGCACGGGCCCCACGAGCUUGGAGGACACACGGUGCCUCCCCUUCACCAGGAGCACGUGGCAGCUGAGUGAGUCGCGCUCGGUGGCGGGCCUGGCUCCCCACGGCCAUCCUCCCUACAGAGGCGGGUCCCCGGCCAGGCCGGCAGGUGGGUGCUCCCGGGGGCUGCGGUGGCAGGGAGCUGCCCAUGACUCCUCGGCCGCCGCGGAGCCUGUGGGGCCCGGCGGGAGACGUCGCGGUCGGCCACCCCACGGGUCCCCCCCGGCUCCCGCGUCCAGACCCCUGGCGCACGGAGCUCCGGCACAGUGUGCAGUGCCUUGGGCCGUGCGGGUGACACCGUGGCCCGUCACCCCUGAAUCCGCUCCAGAUCGAAGGAGAUUACAGCGACGCCGGGACAGACGGACACGGACAUUACACUGA